rnacentral:misc_RNA from 1 species
AUACAAUCGCAAAUAUAUUAUGACGUGUCUGCAAGUGCAUCCUCACUGCUAUGGGGCACACACGCUCUCUUUCGCUCUCUGUUAAUUGACCAACUUUCUCUGUCAUCCUCGUCUUCCCUCGCCACAAAACACCAUCUGCUCUGCUCUCUCCCUCUGUCUUCCCUUCCUCCUUCCCAGGAACUCCAUUGCACUAUUUCCACCCCAAGAACACAGCACAGAGUCGGAUCCGAAUCCACAGGAGAGGCAGAAGCACAACUCACUCCCCACUCCCUCCACCCAUCAGCUAGCCAUGGGCAAGGACUGCGGCAAACACGGCGACGACGACCUCCGGCGCUCGUGCAGGCGCCUGCUAGCCACCAUCGUGGUCCUCGCGCUGACCGUGGGCGUCGUCGCGCUGAUCGUCUACCUGGUGCUCCGCCCCACGCACCCGCGCUUCUACCUGCAGGACGCGUCGCUCCGGCAGCUGGACCUCUCCAACGCCACCACCAGCACCAGCACCCUGCUCUCCACCGCGAUCCAGGUGACGCUAGCGUCGCGCAACCCGAACGAGCGCGUCGGGGUCUACUACGACCGCCUCGACGUGUACGCGUCGUACAAGUACCAGCAGCUCACGGUGGCGGCGUCGCUGCCGCCCGCGUACCAGGGCCACGGCGACGUCGGCGUCUGGUCGCCGGUGCUGGCCGGUCCCAACGUGCCCCUCGCGCCCUACCUCGCCGACGCGCUCCGCCAGGACUGCCAGGCGGGGUACCUCGUCCUCCAGGUCAAGGUCGACGGCCGCGUCCGCUGGAAGGUCGGCAGCUGGGUCUCGAACCACUACCACCUCUUCGUCACCUGCCCGGCCUUCCUCGUCACCGCCGGUGGCAACGGCGCGCCCGGGGCCGCCGGGUUCAGGUUCCAGACCACCACCUACUGCCACGUCGAGGUCUAGGUCUAGCCGGCCUCUUGCCUGUCUGUGCUGCUGUGUCGUCCGUACUCCGUAUACAAACAGAGGCCGCCGCCUGCGAAGGAAACAGAGAGACAAAGGCCUGCCUUGCGCCAUGUAUCAUGGGAUGGCUGCCUGUCUCCCUCGCUCUCUCUAAGCUAGCUGCACUGCCUGCAUGCUGCUGGUGUGCAUGUUAGUGCUGCAGUGAUGCGGAUGUAAAGGAUGGUAAAAAAUUUCUGCUUUUCUUCUUCUUUUCAGUAAGGUUCUCCUUUAACGUACGAUCAAUUACAGUCGCUGUCUUCGUCGUCCCAUUAAUUAGCUCGUUGUAGCGUCUUUUUAGAUGAUCAAUUACAGUUGAAGGGGUAGUAGUAAUUUCUAUGUCCAGCCGUUUCAGUGAGACUACUUUCAACACAGAGAAAACCGAUUGUACCUUUGCCUGUCUCUCUUAAUUAAGUCUUAUAACUGAUUUGGUGACCAGGGAAUUGAAUAGAAAUGAAAUU